rnacentral:rRNA from 1 species
GGGAGUUCUGAUCAUUGGCGAGGUUAAGCAGUUGAUCUGCGAAGCCGAAGGGAAACCGAAAGGUCCGCAGCCGCGUAAGCGGUCAGGGACUGGGUGCGCUCGCCCGGAGUCAAUGGUGGGAGACCUGAAGCCUAUCGAUCUAUGCCUGGCCAGAUUGAAGCCCGAGGAAACUUGGGUGGAGGAUCGAACCGUUGCUGAUGUGCAAAUCGCUCGGACGAGCUGGGUAUAGGGGUGAAAGUCCAAUCGAGUUGGGCAAUAGCAGGUUCCGCGUGAAACUACUCGUAGGUAGACGUCCGUGAAGAUUGAUUACGCUGUAGAGCACUGAUUGUGCGUUUAGGGGACUCGCGUCCUCGGCGUGCUGCCAAACUCCGAAGGUGUAAUCGUUGUAGAAGCGGGCAGUGAGUCAUGGUGGGUAAGCUACCAUGACGCAAGGUGAACAAACCAGCCUGAAGUUAAGGUCCCUAAAUUCCAAUUAAGUGUCACAGACAAACCGUGUCCGUGGUCGAAAACAACCAGAAGGUGGGCUUAGAGGCAGCCAUCCUUGAAAGAGUUCGUAACAGAUCACUGGUCUAGCUUGCGGGCCGGGAAAAGGGACGGGGCUAAAAUUGGAUACCGAUACUUCAGACCAUCGAAAGAUGAUGUGGUAACGCGGCGUAGUGUUUGGGUGGAAGCAAGGCUUUGAGGUCUUGUGGACCGGAUACUAAUGAGAGUCUUGGGAAGAGUAGCAGCACAGUGUGGUGAGAAUCCGCACCACCGGAGGGGCCAGGGUUCCUCGGCACUGUUUAUCAGCCGAGGGUUAGCCGGUCCUAAGGCAAUUCUUAACCGAAAUUGUCGAAAGGGAAUGAUGUUAAUAUUCAUCAGCCCCCCCUGUAAUCUAUGGUGACGGCUCGGGCAAAGUCAUGAGAUCAUAUGUCAGGUCUCAUGAUACCAAGCUUCUGGAGAACUGUUAUAGUGAGAAGGAAGCGAAGUCCUGGGUCCCAUGAAAAGCCACAGGGGGUGACCGUACCGAGAACUGACACAGGUGCCCCUGGGUGAGUAGCCUAAGGUGUAUCGGAUACAAAUAUCGCGAGGGAACUCGGCAAAAUAGCUCCGUAACUUCGGGAGAAGGAGUGCCAGAUUAGGAAUAAUCUGGUCGCAGUGACCAGGGAGCUCCGACUGUUUAAUAAAAACAUAGGGGACUGCCAGAUCGAAAGGUUGUGUAUAGUCCCUGAAUCCUGCUCAGUGCUGGUAUCUGAAACCGGGUUUCAACCUGGCGAAGGACCAGUAAACAGCGGGGGUAACUAUGACCCUCUUAAGGUAGCGUAAUACCUUGUCGCUUAAUUGGCGACUUGCAUGAAUGGUCCAACGAGGGCUCCACUGUCCCCGCGAUAUGUCCGGCGAAAUUGACUUUACUGGCGCACAGUCCAGUACCUUCAACCCGCAAGCGAAGACCCCAUAGAGCUUUACUGCAGCCUGUCGUUGCAUAGUCGCUUUCCAUGUACUGUGUAGGUGGGAGACGUUGAUCCCGAGGACGCUAGUCCUUGGAGUAGUCGAAAAAAGAGACACCACCCUUGGAGAGUAACUAUGCUUUACUGUUAAUCAGGACACCGAUAGGUGGGCAGUUUGGGUGGGGCGCCACGCGCUCGAAAACCUAACAAGCGUGCCCAAAGGUCAGCUUAGGUGGUUCAGCACUCCACCGUCAACUGUAAGGGGAAAAGCUGGCUUGACGUGGAUCCGCACAAUAAGGAUCGACGAUGCGAAAGCAGGGCCUAACGAACCUACCAGCCUCAUUUCU